rnacentral:tRNA from 1 species
CAGAAUAUAGCUUAAAUUAAAGCAUUUUGCUUACACCAAAAAAAUAUUUGUACACAGAUUAUUCUG